AUGGUCCUACGGACACUCCAGUUCCUCCGCGCCGUCCGCAUCUGCUGACGAUUGCUCGCUACGUUUUUCGCG
rfam:Xanthomonas campestris pv. campestris str. ATCC 33913, complete genome.